AAAUGAAUAGACGGGGGCCCGCACAAGCGGUGGAGCAUGUGGUUUAAUUCGAUGCAACGCGAAGAACCUUACCUGGGCUUGACAUCCCGGGAAUCUCCCGGAAACGGGAGAGUGCCUUUCGGGGAACCCGGAGACAGGUGCUGCAUGGCUGUCGUCAGCUCGUGUCGUGAGAUGUUGGGUUAAGUCCCGCAACGAGCGCAACCCUUGUCUUUAAUUGCCAUCAUUAAGCUGGGCACUUUAGAGAGACCGCCGGUGUCAAAUCGGAGGAAGGUGGGGAUGACGUCAAGUCAGCAUGGCCUUUAUGUCCAGGGCUACACACGUGCUACAAUGGGUGGUACAAAGAGCGGCGACCAUGCGAGUGGAAGCAAAUCUCAAAAAGCCAUCCUCAGUUCGGAUUGGAGUCUGCAACUCGACUCCAUGAAGUUGGAAUCGCUAGUAAUCGCGGAUCAGCACGCCGCGGUGAAUACGUUCCCGGGCCUUGUACACACCGCCCGU
rnacentral:rRNA from 1 species